rnacentral:lncRNA from 1 species
UCUACACUCAAACCUUCGUUCAGUGAUUAAGGGACAAUCCAGCUACAUCAAGAAUGGAAAAUCAGAAUCAAGAUCUGAUUCUCUCCAAAUGAUGUCCAGGUUAUCCAAAGGAUGGAACAAUGAUCCAAGAGAUGGAACACCUCUCCUAUGAGGACAAGCUGGAAGAGCUGGGGCUGUUCAGCCUGGAGAAAAGAAGACUCUGAGGUGACCUGAAAGUGACCAUAAAAUACCUAAGGGGGAGCUACAGGAAAGAAGGGGACAGACUCUUUAGCAGAGUCUGUGGUGAUAGAACAAUGGGAAAUGGCUUCAAGCUCAAAGAAAGUAGAUUUAGGUUAGAUGUAAGAAAAACAUCUUUUACAGUGAGGGUGGUGCAGCACUGCAACAGGUUGCCCAGAGAUGUGGAGAAUGCCCCGUACCUGGAGACUUUCGAGGUCAGACUGGAUCAGGCCCUGGGAAACCUGAUCUAUCUGUGGUGUCCCUGUUCAUUGCAGGGGAGUUGGACUAGAUGGUUUUCAGAGGUCCCUU